UGAGCAAUCUGCCCUUCUCUUUGGAAUAAGCGUUGGAAACGACGUCUAAUGCCGAAUACGACCUCCUUUCGCAUGAUCGGAGGUGGAAAGCUCCGGCGGAGAAGGAUGA
rnacentral:rRNA from 1 species